UACGGGGGGGGGCAAGCGUUGUUCGGAAUUACUGGGCGUAAAGGGCUCGUAGGCGGCCAACUAAGUCAGACGUGAAAUCCCUCGGCUUAACCGGGGAACUGCGUCUGAUACUGGAUGGCUUGAGGUUGGGAGAGGGAUGCGGAAUUCCAGGUGUAGCGGUGAAAUGCGUAGAUAUCGGGAAGAACACCCGUGGCGAAGGCGGCUCUCUGGGACGGUACUGACGCUGAGACGCGAAAGCGUGGGGAGCGAACAGG
rnacentral:rRNA from 1 species